ACCCACAGCCCACCUGAGCCCCGGCGGCAGCCCCUUUGGUGGCAUGGGGUAGCCACCUAGCCCCUUCUUUUGGCCUCAAAUCCGAGACUUUCCUGGCUGAGCCCUGACUUCUGGGUGAAGGUGUCCCGAAGGAAGGGACACCCCGAAAAAAGUUAUACCCCCCCCCCAACCGCCCCCAUCGGGUGAUAUGGGGACAGGGGCGGUGUGUUUGCGAAUGGGUGGGAAAUGCCGGGGCCAAGGGGAGGAGGGAGACACGUCGCAGUCCAGAGUGGGGCAUAACCGUGGCCACCCCCCUUCCUCCACCCCUCCUUCCUCCGCUUUACCUCUCCUGGGUGAGCAGGGCUGCUCUGGAGAAGCUUAACCCUGGACCCCUGCGGAGGGACCGCGUUGCACAAGAUGGUAGUGCCUCUUCAAAACAAGACCCGAAAGAAACUGUACUUCAGAAGUUAGCUGGAGGAAAAACAACUUCUAAAUUUCGACCUUUUGCUG